CCCUUAGAUGUUCUGGGCCGCACGCGCGCUACACUGACGAAUGCAACGAGCUUAUAACCUUGGCCGAAAGGUCUGGGUAAUCUCCAAAUUUCGUCGUGAUGGGGAUAGAUUAUUGCAAUUAUUAAUCUUCAACGAGGAAUGCCUAGUAAGCGCAAGUCAUCAGCUUGCGUUGAUUACGUCCCUGCCCUUUGUACACACCGCCCGUCGCUCCUACCGAUUGAAUGGUCCGGUGAAGCGCUCGGACCGCGGCCUCUUGACGGUUUUCCGUCGAUUGGCGGUGGGAAGUUCGUUAAACCUUAUCAUUUAGAGGAAGGAGAAGUCGUAACA
rnacentral:rRNA from 1 species